rnacentral:rRNA from 1 species
UACGAAGGGAGCUAGCGUUGUUCGGAAUCACUGGGCGUAAAGCGCACGUAGGCGGAUGUGUCAGUCAGGGGUGAAAUCCCGGAGCUCAACUUCGGAACUGCCCUUGAUACAGCACGUCUUGAGUCCGGAAGAGGUGGGUGGAAUUCCUAGUGUAGAGGUGAAAUUCGUAGAUAUUAGGAAGAACACCGGUGGCGAAGGCGGCCCACUGGUCCGGUACUGACGCUGAGGUGCGAAAGCGUGGGAGCA